rnacentral:rRNA from 1 species
AUUGAACGCUGGCGGCAUGCCUUACACAUGCAAGUCGAACGGUAACGCGGGGCAACCUGGCGACGAGUGGCGAACGGGUGAGUAAUAUAUCGGAACGUGCCCAGUAGUGGGGGAUAGCCCGGCGAAAGCCGGAUUAAUACCGCAUACGACCUACGGGUGAAAGCGGGGGAUCGCAAGACCUCGCGCUAUUGGAGCGGCCGAUAUCAGAUUAGGUAGUUGGUGGGGUAAAAGCCUACCAAGCCAACGAUCUGUAGCUGGUCUGAGAGGACGACCAGCCACACUGGGACUGAGACACGGCCCAGACUCCUACGGGAGGCAGCAGUGGGGAAUUUUGGACAAUGGGCGCAAGCCUGAUCCAGCCAUGCCGCGUGCGGGAAGAAGGCCUUCGGGUUGUAAACCGCUUUUGUCAGGGAAGAAACGCUCUGGGCUAAUACCCCGGGGUAAUGACGGUACCUGAAGAAUAAGCACCGGCUAACUACGUG